rnacentral:ncRNA from 1 species
GCAUUUAUCAGACCAAAACCCGGGCCGGCGUCUUCGGCGCGUUCGCCUUGGUGACUCUGGAUAACUUUGCGGAUCGCACGGUCUAGCACCGGCGACGGAUCAUUCAAGUGUCUGCCCUAUCAACUUUCGUCGGUACGGUAUUUGCCUACCGAGGUUCUUACGGGUGACGGGGAAUCAGGGUUCGAUUCCGGAGAGGGAGCCUGAGAAACGGCUACCACAUCCAAGGAAGGCAGCAGGCGCGCAAAUUACCCAUUCCCGACGCGGGGAGGUAGUGACGAAAAAUAACAAUGCAGGACUCGUUCGAGGCCCUGUAAUUGGAAUGAGUACACUUUAAAAGCUUUAACGAGUAUCCAUUGGAGGGCAAGUCUGGUGCCAGCAGCCGCGGUAAUUCCAGCUCCAAAAGUAUAUAUUUAAGUUGUUGCGGUUAAAAAGCUCGUAGUUGGAUUUUGGGCGCAGGCGGCCGGUCCGUCGCAAGGCGUGUACUGGACGUCCUGGCCUUCCCUCCGGUUCUCCGCCGGUGCUCUUGACUGAGUGUCGGCGGCGGCCGGAACGUUUACUUUGAAAAAAUUAGAGUGUUCAAAGCAGGCUCUCGAGCCUGGAUAAUGGUGCAUGGAAUAAUGGAAUAGGACCUCGGUUCUAUUUUGUUGGUUAUCGGAGCGCGAGGUAAUGAUUAAGAGGGACAGACGGGGGCAUUCGUACUGUGCCGUU